rnacentral:rRNA from 1 species
CCCUUAGAUGUUCUGGGCCGCACGCGCGCUACACUGACGGAGCCAACGAGUACUUUCCUUGUCCGGAAGGACUGGGUAAUCUUGUGAAACUUCGUCGUGCUGGGGAUAGAGCAUUGCAAUUAUUGCUCUUCAACGAGGAAUUCCUAGUAAGCGUGAGUCAUCAGCUCGCGUUGAUUACGUCCCUGCCCUUUGUACACACCGCCCGUCGCUCCUACCGAUGGAUCGUCCGGUUAAGCUCAUGGAGGGGCGGUUGUCUCAGCUGCCGUCGAAGUGAAAUGGACCUCACGAUCUAGAGGAAGGAGAAGUCGUAACA